rnacentral:rRNA from 1 species
UCGAGAAUCUUCCGCAAUGCACGAAAGUGUGACGGAGCGACGCCGCGUGAUGGAUGAAGGCCUUAGGGUUGUAAACAUCUUUUAUUGGUGAAGAAAUUAUUGACAUUAGCCAAUGAAUAAGGAGCUCCUAAUCUGGUGCCAGCAGGAGCGGUAAUACCAGAGCUUCAAGUGUUAUCCGGAAUCACUGGGCGUAAAGGGUGCGUAGGCGGUUGUAUUAGUCAGAAUUUAAAGACCGGUGCUCAACAUCGGGAAGGGUUUUGAAACGGUACAACUAGAGUAUGUGAGAGGUAAGCGGAACUCUCGGUGUAGGGGUGAAAUCCGUUGAUAUCGAGGGGAACACCAAAAGCGAA